rnacentral:rRNA from 1 species
AGAAUCAACGCUGGCGGCGUGCCUAACACAUGCAAGUCGAACGAGAAAGUGGAGCAAUCCAUGAGUAAAGUGGCGCACGGGUGAGUAACACGUGACUAACCUACCCUUGAGUGGGGGAUAACCUAGGGAAACCUGGGCUAAUACCGCAUAAUACCUUCGGGUCAAAGGAGCAAUUCGCUUAAGGAGGGGGUCGCGGCCGAUUAGUUAGUUGGCGGGGUAAUGGCCCACCAAGACUGUGAUCGGUAUCCGGCCUGAGAGGGCGCACGGACACACUGGAACUGAAACACGGUCCAGACUCCUACGGGAGGCAGCAGUGGGGAAUUUUGCGCAAUGGGGGAAACCCUGACGCAGCAACGCCGCGUGGAGGAUGAAGUCCCUUGGGACGUAAACUCCUUUCGAUCGGGACGAUUAUGACGGUACCGGAAGAAGAGCCCCGGCUAACUUCGCGCCAGCAGCCGC